UCUCUACUUGCGUAGGCAGUCUCACUAGAGUCCCCAACUUAAUGAUGGCAACUAGUGACAGGGGUUGCGCUCGUUGCAGGACUUAACCUAACACCUCACGGCACGAGCUGACGACAACCAUGCAGCACCUUGAAAAAUGUCCGAAGAAAAGUCUAUUUCUAAACCUGUCAUUUCCCAUUUAAGCCUUGGUAAGGUUCCUCGCGUAUCAUCGAAUUAAACCACAUAAUCCACCGCUUGUGCGGGCCCCCGUCAAUUCCUUUGAGUUUCAAACUUGCGUUCGUACUCCCCAGGUGGCUAACUUAUCACUUUCGCUUAGUCUCUGAAACUUACAUUCCAAAAACGAGUUAGCAUCGUUUACGGCGUGGACUAC
rnacentral:misc_RNA from 1 species